rnacentral:rRNA from 1 species
CUACGGGCGGCUGCAGUGAGGAAUAUUGCACAAUGGGGGGAACCCUGAUGCAGCAACGCCGCGUGGAGGAUGACGCAUUUCGGUGUGUAAACUCCUUUUAUAUGUCAAGAAAAUGACGGUAGUAUAUGAAUAAGCACCGGCUAACUCCGUGCCAGCAGCCGCGGUAAUACGGAGGGUGCAAGCGUUACUCGGAAUCACUGGGCGUAAAGGACGCGUAGGCGGGUUGGAAAGUCAGGUGUGAAAUCCUACAGCUUAACUGUAGAACUGCACUUGAAACUUCUAAUCUAGAGUAUGGGAGGGGGAGAUGGAAUUCGUGGUGUAGGGGUAAAAUCCGUAGAUAUCACUAGGAAUACCUAAAGCGAAGGCGAUCUCCUGGAACAUUACUGACGCUAAGGCGUGAAAGCGUGGGGAGCAAACAGGAUUAGAUACCCCCGUAGUC